rnacentral:lncRNA from 1 species
AAAGCCUCAAAAGCCCCAUCUGUGGCUUACGGCCGGCGGCUGGGGAACCGCUGGAAAGGCUGAAAACAGUUUCCAGAGUGCAGAAGGGUGGGGAGGUGGUCGUGGGCUGCACGGAGGUGGGCACUGCCUCAGUCCUGAGCAGCCACCAUCCUCAGUUCCGUCUGCAGGAGGGCUCAGUGGUGGUUGGUGAGUGGUUUCACCUGAGGAGAAGUGCCACUUGCCCUGCUUUUACAGCUGGCAGCGUUAAGGAUGGUUUACCUUUAGCAGAAGAAACGGUGUUAUAACAUUGUAAGCCAUGUGGAAAUAAUCUCCAGCACUCGGUUUGUUCAGGGGAAACCACUCCAGCGGCAGGAUUAUCAUGGCGAUGGGACGGCCGAAGUCCAGCACCCAGUUCUGCAGUGUGAAGUAGAACCAGAGGUCGAGGUGGAACGGGGAGGUCUUGGAGGUGUCCUCGUUCUUUGCUGCCCCAUGCCUGCCCGCGUAGAGCGGCCCGGAGGGCUGCGGGGAGCCCGGAGCCGCCGCCGGGAACGGCCGCCGCCGCGCCGAGCCCUGCAUGCGCCCCGCCUGGCCCGGCCCGGCCCGGUUCGGCUCAGCUCGGCUCAGC